AUGACUCUACUGUCAGGGAUCAUUUCUACAGUGCCUGACUUAGACAUGCGUUUCGUAAGUUUUAAGUCUUGCCACCCACGAUGAUGAUCUGGGAUAUUCCUUUCUGUGCGUGAAUCUGACAGAGGUCAAUGUAAAAACUCCACGAGAUGUUUGUCAUUGAUGAACGUUCCCAAUGGUCUUUGUCAUGGGAGGAAGGGAAUAGUGAUGGG
ensembl:snoRNA U3 Small nucleolar RNA U3